UCUAGUAUAGACCUGGCUUCAGUGUUGAGAAGAGAACAUACCCCUGAAGGCAAAAAUCUACCUUUCAAGACUGCUUAUAUUCUCAGUACCAACCUCUAUUGCAUAAUAUGUACCAAUAUUUCACGUGUGGAAUUCCCGCUGUCAUCAGUGGAAUGUGUAAAAGGAGUGUAAAACAGGCAAUAAAGUUCUGAAAGUUGCUCAGAGAAGAAUUUUGCUGCUGGUGUUUAGUUUGCAUUUGACUGAGUAGGGAAAUGUAAAUGGGAUACUACAAAGAAUCCAGACUACCUAUGUAGAUUGUGUUAUCUCUUAGCUUAACCAGGCAAUUAAAUAGGGUUAACGCUAUCCUUUUGGAGUCGAUACUUAGGCAAGUCAGAUUUGAGAUCCCUAGAUGAAAAGCACUAUAACUGAAAUGCAAGAUACGCACAACAGCUGAGCCAUAGGUGAGCUGAGAUAAUACUAUACUGACCAAAGUCAAUAGCAGAUGUCAAUCUGAGCCUAAAUGCUUGUAAAGUGUCUCUCUCAGAAUUUACAAACCUAGUUCUUAGCAGCUUCAGGAGUACCUUAAGCAUGAACCAAUACAAUAUGGAAAAGUAGGAGGUUAAAGAGUUUGGGUGGAGCAACCUGCCUCAGGCGUUCGAAUUCUAGACCUAGGGUCACAUAAAGCCAACAGCAUCCUGUGAGGAAUAAUGAAUGAAAUGGUACCAGCUUCAAUGGUUACAGUCACCAUCUACCCACUCAUGGAAUCAGAAGUGGUUGUCAUGAGUUCCUUAACGUCCAAUGAAAAACUAUCAAGACAUUAACAACACAUGAUUACUGUCUCCUGCAGAAAUGGAAGUGGAAGUGUAAAGGGGGAAAACUACGAGAUGGAAUGCUCAACAACAUGGAAAUGAAUACAUUUACAAAUGAAUCUCAGGAAGAUCACUUCAGUAUGUAUGCAAAAGCACAGGGUCUUGUACCCCAAGAGGGCCCACCAUGAACUGUCCAGUUUUCUUAUAAUAAUCUGAAGCACAAAUUUAUUUAUAUUUUAAAAGCUACUUUGGGGCAUCUGGAUAAACAGAACUAUAACUCUCACACAGCAACUAUCCACACUAUAAAGAAAUUCCACCUUAUUUCCUUUUGUUUGUAGUUAUUUAAUAGAAUUUGGUGCCCCAUUGUUCUUGUAUUUGAGUUAGCUCAAACGUCCCUUUCGGUAGCUAGCCUUUCCAUCCUCUUAGUAAUGCUGUAUACUGGGAGGCUCUUC